UGGCCUCCCUAAGGAAGAAGCUUCAAGUGUAUGAGGCAGGAGCCCAGGCCCCACAGCAGGGUCUCCCACAGUCCUCCAAGUUGAGCCCUCAACAGCAACACCUUUCUAGCUCCCCUUUAGUGUCCCGUCCCCGCAGCCAGCCCUGGACCCCAGAACUCCACGUGGGAUCUGGAGAUCUUCAAGAGGGGAGCCUGGGGACAGAGGCCCAGGAACAAAGGAUCAUAAAAGAAAGCUCUUCAGACCAGGAGCAGACCCCAGAGGACAAGGACGAAGAUCCUACUGAGGUUCCAACCCAGACACUGGAGCAGAACCUCACACCCCCACUGUCAGAGUCUGCUGGUCUGACCCCGCAGCCUAAGCCGGUGGCCAGCCACCUAUCACCACAGAACCUGGAUGGGGACCGUUCUAAGCAGUGAGUGUCUUGCUUCUACUCUGGCUUCCAGGGUGGGAAGUGAGGGGCUUACC
rnacentral:lncRNA from 1 species